rnacentral:rRNA from 1 species
AGAGCGAACGCUGGCGGCAGGCUUAACACAUGCAAGUCGAGCGGGCGUAGCAAUACGUCAGCGGCAGACGGGUGAGUAACGCGUGGGAACGUACCUUUUGGUUCGGAACAACACAGGGAAACUUGUGCUAAUACCGGAUAAGCCCUUACGGGGAAAGAUUUAUCGCCGAAAGAUCGGCCCGCGUCUGAUUAGCUAGUUGGUGAGGUAAUGGCUCACCAAGGCGACGAUCAGUAGCUGGUCUGAGAGGAUGAUCAGCCACAUUGGGACUGAGACACGGCCCAAACUCCUACGGGAGGCAGCAGUGGGGAAUAUUGGACAAUGGGCGCAAGCCUGAUCCAGCCAUGCCGCGUGAGUGAUGAAGGCCCUAGGUUGUAAAGCUCUUUUGUGCGGGAAGAUAAUGACGGUACCGCAAGAAUAAGCCCGGCUAACUUCGCGCCAGCAGCCGC